GGAGUUUGGACCGUGUCUCAGUUCCAAUGUGGCCGAUCACCCUCUCAGGUCGGCUACUGAUCGUCGCCUUGGUGGGCCGUUACCUCACCAACUAGCUAAUCAGACGCGGGUCCCUCCUGUACCGAUAAAUCUUUUCCAACAUGAAGAUGCCAUCACGUUGGCUUAUGGGGCAUUAGCAGUCAUUUCUAACUGUUAUUCCCCUGUACAGGGCAGGUUACCCACGCGUUACUCACCCGUCCGCCGCUAAGUCAACAAAUCGUCACCCCGAAGGGAUCGUGAUAAGUUGCUUCGUUCGACUUGCAUGUGUUAAGCACGCCGCCAGCGUUCAUC
rnacentral:rRNA from 1 species